rnacentral:rRNA from 1 species
GACGAACGCUGGCGGCGUGCUUAACACAUGCAAGUCGAACGAUGAAGCCGGAGCUUGCUCCGGUGAAUUAGUGGCGAACGGGUGAGUAACACGUGAGUAACCUGCCCUUGACUCUGGGGUAACUGCGGGAAACUGUAGCUAAUACCGGAUACGACCCUCGGAGGCAUCUCCUGGGGGUGGAAAGAAUUCCGGUCAAGGAUGGACUCGCGGCCUAUCAGCUAGUUGGUGGGGUAAAGGCUCACAAAGGCGACGACGGGUAGCCGGCCUGAGCGGGUGACCGGCCACACUGUGACUGAGACACGGCCCAGACUCCUACGGGAGGCAGCAGUGGUGAAUAUUGCACAAUGAGCGCAAGCCUGAUGCAGCAACGCCGCGUGAGGGAUGACGGCCUUCGGGUUGUAAACCUCUUUUAGCAGGGAAGAAGCGAAAGUGACGGUACCUGCAGAAAAAGCACCGGCUAACUACGUGCCAGCCGCCGCGGUAA